UACGUAGGGUGCAAGCGUUGUCCGGAAUUAUUGGGCGUAAAGAGCUCGUAGGCGGUUUGUCGCGUCUGCUGUGAAAACUCGGGGCUUAACUCCGGGCCUGCAGUGGAUACGGGCAGACUAGAGUGCGGUAGGGGAGACUGGAAUUCCUGGUGUAGCGGUGAAAUGCGCAGAUAUCAGGAGGAACACCGGUGGCGAAGGCGGGUCUCUGGGCCGUAACUGACGCUGAGGAGCGAAAGCGUGGGGAGCGAACAGG
rnacentral:rRNA from 1 species